rnacentral:rRNA from 1 species
CAGGACGAACGCUGGCGGCGCGCCUAACACAUGCAAGUCGAACGGUGAAGAGGAGCUUGCUCCUCGGAACAGUGGCGGACGGGUGAGUAACACGUGAGCAACCUGGCUCUAAGAGGGGGACAACAGUUGGAAACGACUGCUAGUACCGCAUAACGUAUCGGGAUGGCAUCUUCCUGAUACCAAAGAUUUUAUCGCUUAGAGAUGGGCUCGCGUCUGAUUAGAUAGUUGGCGGGGUAACGGCCCACCAAGUCGACGAUCAGUAGCCGGACUGAGAGGUUGAACGGCCACAUUGGGACUGAGACACGGCCCAGACUCCUACGGGAGGCAGCAGUGGGGGAUAUUGGACAAUGGGGGCAACCCUGAUCCAGCGACGCCGCGUGAGGGAAGAAGGUUUUCGGAUUGUAAACCUCUGUUGACGGAGAAAAAAAUGAUGGUAUCCGUUUAGAAAGCCACGGCUAACUACGUGCCAGCAGCCGCGGUAAUACGUAGGUGGCAAGCGUUGUCCGGAAUUACUGGGUGUAAAGGGAGUGUAGGCGGGAUAUCAAGUCAGAAGUGAAAAUUACGGGCUCAACUCGUAACCUGCUUUUGAAACUGACAUUCUUGAGUGAAGUA